UUGUUCUGUGAAUUAAAGAUGUUAGAUAAUCAAAAGCGUUUAUCUGGAUUUGAAUAUCGUAAGAGAAGAUUGGAGAAAGAAGAGUCAGUAAAAAAAUGUACAACACUAUUAGAAAGUUUUUAACACAAAAGGCUCCAACACAAGAACAAGAGAAUUUAUCGACAGAAGAACGUUCAUCUGAGAUCACUCAAGAAGCAAUUUCUAAUACUGAAAAUGUUCUCUCUCUUGAUAAAAUUAACAAUCAAGACUCAACAAUUGACCAAUCAAUUAAAAGUACAUCAGCAGGUUCAUCAUCAGCAGAUCAUUAAGAAGCUUAAGAGAGAGAUUCUACGCAUAUUCAGCCUACCAGUCGAUAAAGAAUAACACACUAUAA